rnacentral:lncRNA from 1 species
CAAAAUCAUCUCUUUGAUCUGAUCGUAGGAGGCAAGCUGCGAUGCCGUCACCAACAUCGCACGAUUCACCGUCAGCGACGAGCCGCGCCACAAGGAGGUCACGCCUUCUUGUUUGGUCAUGCGUGUGAUGGCGUCGACAACGCUGGUAUAGUUACGACGUUGAGAUACGGGAAGGCGUCCGUCAGCUUGCAUUCGCACCAUCGCCACGUCGGCUGGGUUCCCAACGGCAGCGCCGAUCCCUCCGGCGAUUAGCCCGGCGGUGAUUUUCCGCGAGAGAGGCAUGGUUUUGGUCUCUUUAUCAGUCCACUUCUGUUUCAGGAU